CUUAGCUCAGUUGGUAGAGCGGCGGACUGUUAAUCCGCAUGUCACAGGUUCGAGCCCUGUAG
rnacentral:tRNA from 1 species